CCACAGCAUCAUCCCCAUCACCAUCUCCGUCGGCAGCAUCAACUCCACCGCCCGUGGCAUCAUCCCCAUCACCAUCUCCAUCGGUAGUGUCAACUCCACCUCCCGUGGCAUCAUCCCCAUCACCAUCUCCAACGGUAGUAUCAACUCCACCGCCCGUGGCAUCAUCUCCACCACCGGCCGUAGCAUCAACCCCACCACCGACAAUGCACUCUCCACCACCGCCGGUGGCAUCACCACCAGUGCAAACACCUCCACCACCCGUAGCAUCGCCACCGCCACCAGUGCAAACACCAGCACCGGCCCCGGGAUCUUCAUCCCCUCCUCUUGUCUCCUCUCCGCCACCAUCGACUUCAUAUCCUCCGGUCGUCUCCCCUGCUUCACUUCCUGAGCCCGACACGUUACCGCCGGUCGGCGGAUUGAGCUACGCAUCUCCACCUCCACCUAUCUACAAAGGCUAUUAAGCUCGAGUGGUCUCGUUCCCAUUUCGACCAUCCGUGCACUCGUUGGGGAAGAAAUCAUCUCGCUCAGGCUAAAGAGCAUACCUUAUUCCUUUUGGAUGCAUGCAAUCCAUCUUCUGCUCUGUAAUGGAUCUCCAAUUCUUCAUCUUUUAUGUAUCUUGAUGAUUAUAUGACAGUCUUUUCAUUGCAUUUUCACGGUGGAGCAAUUUUUCACAGACAAAUAAUUGUUCUCGGGCUUGUCGAUUGAUGAAGUUUCAUGCAUAGGACUUUUACCUGACCACUAAUAAUUUACAUCAAUAAGGAUCAUUAUGCUAC
rnacentral:lncRNA from 1 species